CAAGGAGUAGUUUAAUUAGAAUUUCAGCUUUGGGUGCUGAAGGUGGGGCUUAAGCCUUCUCCUUGA
rnacentral:tRNA from 1 species